rnacentral:rRNA from 1 species
AUUGAACGCUAGCGGCAUGCCUAACACAUGCAAGUCGAACGGUAACAGGUUAAGCUGACGAGUGGCGAACGGGUGAGUAAUGCAUCGGAACGUGCCCGGUCGUGGGGGAUAACGCAGCGAAAGCUGCGCUAAUACCGCAUACGAUCUGAGGAUGAAAGCGGGGGACCGUAAGGCCUCGCGCGAUCGGAGCGGCCGAUGUCAGAUUAGGUAGUUGGUGGGGUAAAGGCUCACCAAGCCAACGAUCUGUAGCUGGUCUGAGAGGACGACCAGCCACACUGGGACUGAGACACGGCCCAGACUCCUACGGGAGGCAGCAGUGGGGAAUUUUGGACAAUGGGCGAAAGCCUGAUCCAGCAAUGCCGCGUGUAGGAAGAAGGCCUUCGGGUUGUAAACUGCUUUUGUACGGAGCGAAAAGGUCUCCUCUAAUACAGGGGGCUCAUGACGGUACCGUAAGAAUAAGCACCGGCUAACUACGUGCCAGCAGCCGCCGUAA